rnacentral:siRNA from 1 species
UCAAAUUGUAUGAAUGUGUGCUU